rnacentral:rRNA from 1 species
UACCAGCACCCCGAGUGGUCGGGACGAUUAUUGGGCCUAAAGCAUCCGUAGCCGGUCAUGCAAGUCUUCCGUUAAAUCCAGCUGCUUAACAGAUGGGCUGCGGAGGAUACUAUAAGACUAGGAGGCAGGAGAGGCAAGCGGUACUCAGUGGGUAGGGGUAAAAUCCGUUGAUCCAUUGAAGACCACCAGUGGCGAAGGCGGCUUGCCAGAAUGCGCUCGACGGUGAGGGAUGAAAGCUGGGGGAGCAAACCGG